AUCCCCAUUAUGCACCAAAGAGACCUAUGCUCUUUUCCGCAAUCCUUUUCCAGAAUACGCGAAAAUAGAGAAGUUUUUGGAGUAAUGAUCUUAAAUCAGACAACAUUGAUCCUUGCAAGGAACUUGGAAACAUGUUUUAAAUUGCCAACUUGAAUGACAAAAGUUGGAAUUGACUUCUUGUUAUAUCCUGUUUCCCAUAUUAGUUUUUUCUCUUCUCUAUAAUGGAAGUAGACAUGGCGUCGUUUCUGUUGCAUAAUUUGUUAUAGACAAUAAGAAGAGGUUAAUGAUAGAGUAUAUUAUGAAAGAAUGAUAAUAUUGUAACUAUUUUUCCAAACUUAAGCACAUGAUUACAGCUUAUCAAUGUUUUAUUUAUGGUUAUAGACUAGUUAUGUUUACGACGAGGGUGCAAGAUUCUACUAAUUAAACGCAAUAAUUUUCAUGAUUACUGUCAACCAGAACUUGUGGGUGAUGAAGAAACCUCUAAAAACAAUGUCUACAGAAGAUUGCAUAACUCAAAAAAAAAAUGCGAAGUCUAAAUCCUCACAAAAGAUAUUAGAGAGACGACAACAACAUAGCCCAUGGGAAGAAACAAUGUUAAGAAUACAAGCAUACUUCGAAUCUAGUGAUUAACCUUAAUUGAUAAGUAAUGACAGUAAAAAACAAAGAAUAUCAAAUAAUUUAACUCUAUCUGUUUGUAAAUGGUCUUUAUUCUCAUACAAAUCUGAGAUCACUAUGAAUUUCAGAAAUCUACAUAACAAAAAUGAAUACACCACAGUAGAAACACAUUGGAUACAACUGCUAAAGGAAAAUUAUGGCAGCGAUUCAACCAGCCCUUACGAGUAUGGAAUACCAACAUACAAUAGGUCUCUCAACAAGAAGCUUUUAACUUACCCAAACUAAGAUAGUCAAGUUCUGUCAAGACUGAAAAUCAACAACAACAACGCCAAAUACGCCUCAAAUGAGUCUUCCUGUGCGGCUCUCUUUUUUUGUAUUCCUAUAGAUUAUCAAAUGGUUCAGAGAAAUUCGAGAUGAAAUCUAAGAAUACAAAUAUAAAAUUACUGAAAUAACAAUAAUCCCUAACUGCAUGUUGAAAAUUUUGCCUUAAAGAAUCCUUAUAAAAAAAUCCAAACAUAAAUUUAUACAUAAACUAGUAUGGGUAUAAACAAAAAAGAAAGAAUUAGGGUCACUAGCAGCUAUAUGAGAGAAAUCGGUUGUUCAAUUCUUCCACCACAAAAUCGAUAUGUAUUUAAACAACAGCUAUAUCAGAUUUUUCGUUCUAAAAGAAAAAGGAAAAGAAUAGGGAUUUGAACACAUACCUGAUAAAUGAGAUUCACAUUUUGAUUAGAAAGAUUUAGAGUUGGGUCAUGAAAUUUUAGCAGAGAUGUGAUUUUAGAGAGAGGGGGGAAGGAUUUCUAGAGAGAGGCUUGUUUGUGUG
rnacentral:lncRNA from 1 species